AGAUUUCACCCCUACCCCUGAAGUACCUCUCACCUCUCCCGGCCUCGAGCCAGACAGUAUCUCCUGAAAGCCUGACAGUUAAGCUGCCAGAUUUCUCAAGAGACUUAUCCGGCCGGCUACAGACCCUUUAGACCCAAUAAUAACGGUUACCACUCGAGCCGCCGGUGUUACCGCGGCGGCUGGCACCGGUCUUGCCCGGCCCUUGCUAUGAAAUGCUUUUUAGGCAUCUCGACAGCCAGAUUUGUAACCUGGCACUCGAGGUUCCCUUAUCGCUGUUGCCAGCAUUGUAAAGUUUUCGCGCCUGCUGCACCCCGUAGGGCCUGGAUUCGUGUCUCAGAAUCCAUCUCCGGGCUCUUGCUCUCACAACCCGUACCCGUCGUAGGCUAGUAGGUACGCUACACCCACUACUACCUGAUAGGCCGCAGACCCAUCCUUAGGCGCCGGAGCUUUUAAUCUCGGUGCAUUCCAGCAGCCGAGACUUAUAGGGGAUUAUACCCAGUUUCCCGGGUUUAUACCCAACCUAAGGGCAGGUUGUCCACGUGUUACUGAGCAGUACGCCAUGUAUUGCUACAUUCGACUCGCAUGGCUUAGUCGAACCUCGAUAGCAGUAACCUCUGGCAGGAUCAACCGGA
rnacentral:rRNA from 1 species